GUUGACCUCGGAUCAGGUAGGAAUACCGCUGAACUUAAGCUAUCAAUAAGCG
rnacentral:rRNA from 1 species